UACGUAGGGUGCGAGCGUUGUCCGGAAUUAUUGGGCGUAAAGAGCUCGUAGGUGGCCUGUCGCGUCGGCUGUGAAAACUCGGGGCUCAACUCCGAGCUUGCAGUCGAUACGGGCAGGCUAGAGUUCGGCAGGGGGAGACUGGAAUUCCUGGUGUAGCGGUGAAAUGCGCAGAUAUCAGGAGGAACACCGGUGGCGAAGGCGGGUCUCUGGGCCGAUACUGACACUGAGGAGCGAAAGCGUGGGGAGCGAACAGG
rnacentral:rRNA from 1 species